UACGAAGGGGGCUAGCGUUGUUCGGAAUUACUGGGCGUAAAGCGCACGUAGGCGGAUUGUUAAGUCAGGGGUGAAAUCCUGGAGCUCAACUCCAGAACUGCCUUUGAUACUGGCGAUCUUGAGUCCGGGAGAGGUGAGUGGAACUGCGAGUGUAGAGGUGAAAUUCGUAGAUAUUCGCAAGAACACCAGUGGCGAAGGCGGCUCACUGGCCCGGUACUGACGCUGAGGUGCGAAAGCGUGGGGAGCAAACAGG
rnacentral:rRNA from 1 species